GGUAAAUGUUUCAUGAUAAGAAUUUCAUGUCUUUUGUAUUAAAGAAUUAAAUGGAUGAAAUAUGAAGUUUUAUUAAAAGAAAAAGGGGUGAAAAGAACAAAGUUUUGUCCAUCUUUGUUCAUCAUAGCUGAAAGUUAGAGAAGAGAAAAGAGAGGAGAAAGCUCUUGAGUAUUUGGUCAUUAGGAAGAGGAAAAUUGACGGCAGUUCGUGUGUGGAUCUCGUCAGCAUAUCGUCGCAAACAGGUGUGUAACUAACACCCUCUUUCUUAGUCUGGAUCGGCAAAAGUCGAAAAGUCGAAAUGCCGAAAAUCGGUAUUUUGUAGAUUUGCGAGUGUGCGAAUGCUCGUGAGGUAAAUCGAUUAAUGUUUUUGGUAAGCUGCAAGAUUUGGACUGCAAAGUGCAUAAUUUCUGUGCCCUCGAUAUUUUUGGGCUUAAUGAGCCAAAAUUGGAAUGAUGGGCCAACGGGCCCAAUUCGGUAAGAACCCUCGGUAGUGAUUCUGUUAGUACGUGAAAAGUAGGAAUAUGCAUGAAAAACCCUAAAAGCAGCUAAAUUACUAUAAUACCCCUAUGUAUGGAAAAUUACUGUUAUACCCCUAGGUGCAAAAUUACCGAAAUACCCCUAGGGUUAAAUUGAUCUAAAUUCAUGUUUGACUGUUGUUAUUUACUGCAUGCCAUGUUGUUAUUAUAUGAUGCAUGGGAUUGGGAUAUUGACGGAGGAAGUACUGAAAGUGGCUUGUCCACAUACUGGAGGCUUUGCCUCAAUUUACUGUUAACUGAGCAGCAAUGCUGCAACUGUGGAGUGUUGGGCUGGGUGGGUUGAGCUAUUCCCCACAUGGAGUGUAUGGCUGGUACGGGUGGAGUGUAGUGGUUGGUGGGUUGAGUAGUCUCCCCAAAUGGGCUUGCAUAUGUUUACUGAUGUUGUAUGUAUUUUGAAAUGGGCC